rfam:Gossypium arboreum cultivar AKA8401 contig_19912_3, whole genome shotgun sequence.
AAUGAGAGAAUGAUAAAUCAGAUUUUUUCUUUUGAUUUUCAGCCUAUUUCUCCUGAAAAAAUUAAAAUCAAGCUAAAAACACUAAAAAUUGGGAGAAAAAAAUCUGAUUUGUCAUUCUCUCAUU